rnacentral:tRNA from 1 species
GGAGAUUUAGCUCAGCGGUAAAAGUUCCUGCUUUGCAAGCAGGAGGUCAUGAGUUCAAUCCCCG